AGCGAACGCUGGCGGCAGGCUUAACACAUGCAAGUCGAGCGCCCCGCAAGGGGAGCGGCAGACGGGAGAGUAACACGUGGGAACAUACCUUUUGGUGCGGAACAACUGAGGGAAACUUCAGCUAAUACCGGAGAAGCCCUUACGGGGAAAGAUUUAUCGCCGAAAGAUUGGCCCGCGUCUGAUUAGCUAGUUGGUGAGGUAACGGCCCACCAAGGCGACGAUCCGUAGCUGGUCUGAGAGGAUGAUCAGCCUCACUGGGACUGAGACACGGCCCAGACUCCUACGGGAGGCAGCAGUGGGGAAUAUUGGACAAUGGGGGCAACCCUGAUCCAGCCAUGCCGCGUGAGUGAUGAAGGCCUUAGGGUUGUAAAGCUCUUUUGCCCGGGAAGAUAAUGACGGUACCGGGAGAAUAAGCCCCGGCUAACUUCGUG
rnacentral:rRNA from 1 species